AAUCAAAGCAGCUGUCCUAGGUCUAGAGCCAGGACACUUCCUGCCUCAAACCAAUCUUCAUAAUUCCCAGUUGGUUUGGCUGAGGCAUGGCCAUGAGGCCGGUGGCUUCAUAUCAACAAGUGAGGCACUUUGUGAAUAAAAGCAACAAGUCAUGGCACCUCAUUCCACCCACAAAGGGGAAGAAGGUUGCCCAAGGUCAAGGGCAGGGGUUGGCAUCAAACCUCCCUCUUGAGACUCUCAUGUAUCCAGGAACAUGGAAAAAUAAAGGCCAGGAGGAGGCCUACUCUCUAGCAUUUAUAGGAGACUGGCGUCUGAUGUAGUUUGCUGUUUAGAAUGUGUCUGUGUUAAAACAUCUCUAUGGAGGUAGUGGGGGAGCCACUGGUUUGUUCACUCUGCAGAAAAAAUUGGACCACUGGCGUUACAAACACAUCAUUACUGGGUAUAGGGUUAGAGAAGAUACAAUAAUCAUUUCAGCUCCAAGCUUCCACUGUGAUUUUACACUGUGGUUUUACCUUUCUCCCAAAGCUUCUAGACAAUAGUCAUAGCUUAGGCCCACAGGCUCCAAAGGUAGCCAAUUAAAAUCCUGGUAAACAGAAGCAUCUGCCCUCUUCUCUCUUACUGUUUCCUCUGUGGCUAAAAAUAAAGAGUGGAUGGAAAGGCCUGUUACUCUUCAGACAUAUUUGAUCCUGGGAGGCUGAAACAAGUAAGACCAAGCUGAUGGCUGCCUCCUUCCAGUAGAAUGUUCCCUGUGACAUCUUAGCCUAUGGCUGUCAGUCUGGUUCUGCAUGUCUUUCCUGUGUCUCCAUCUGUCUCAUUCUCUCUGCCUUCCUGUAUCUGUCAGGAUGUUGGUGGGGCGGGUCCAGAUGGGGGAGGGGGCGCGGGGGUGUGUGUCUGCCUGUUUCCCUCUUUGUGUGUGGGCAUGUGUGUCUGUUUUCAUCUCCCUCUGUCUCUCUGUCCCUGUUUCUCACUCUGCAUGUAUCUUCCUGUAUCUGUUUCUCGCUGUUCUGUCUCUGUUCCUCUCUGCCAAUCUCUCUGCAUCUAUCUAUCAGGAGGUUGUCAUUCUGUGUCUCUCUCAUGGUCAUUCAAUCUGUCAGAGCUGCACAAUGACUUUUUUGGCCCUAGUCACUUCUGCCCUCAUGAGCACCUUCCUCUACAGAAAAAAAAAUAUGAAAACAUAUUUUAGGACUACAUUGGCAUAAGGCAAGUUUAUAUAAUCUAUGCUGAAUUCAUUAAUAAAUAUUCAUUAUUUUUAUUAGAUUCAUUUUUUAUUCUUGAUUUUAAAAAAGAUUAAAACAUUUUUGUGGAGCCCUAAAACUGCCAUGGCCCCAAGGCACCGCACUUAAGAGUGUGUUCUCACAGGCUUUAGUUCUAGGUUAGACACAAGGAAUUCUCUAUGUGAUCAUUUCUAGUCCAUUAAACAUCUGCCUCAGGAUGCAGCUGAGCUCCAGGAAGGGCUCAGAUCUUGCUUUCCUUGCCUCAUUUCCUGCCUCUCUUAAGCUGAGAGCUGGCUGGGUGAAGGCAGCAGGAUUGUGUGGCCAUCUAUCUCCGUAUCCAGAAACACCUAUCCACACCCUACUGUGGCGUGACUUACACCCACUAUCAUUUCUCUGGAUGCCUUGGUAUCUCAUAUGUAAUCAAGCUUGAUUUGUCUGCUUGGGGGACUGAAGGACAAUGGCAUAUGGUGUGAAGCAAGUUCAACUGGAUUUGAUCACCUUUGCUUGUGGAGACUAAGAUACCUUAUAUGAGAAUCCUUAACAAUAGUUUGCCUCCAAACCUAAUGAUCAUGUACACUCUUGCCUCAGGAGAUCGUUUCAGGUUUGAUAUUUGGCUGUUUAACUCAUUUCUAUAAUAGUCCUAAUUAAAAAGUCUCUUGCAAAAAAAAAUCCUCAAGCAUUUUGCUAUCUUCCUGGGAAAUAGAAUAAAAUAAAAUUGAUUUUCUUCUUUAUCAGCAAAACUUGUAAAUUGAAGGCACAAAUCCCAGGAAGCCAGUACAUAAAAUUUAUCUUAAUGUUGCUAAUUGGACCCCAAAAUA
rnacentral:lncRNA from 1 species